UUGCUUCACGUGUAAGGAAGCUGACCCACAGAUGCGGGGGCCGGGCUGCCACCUUCACUCUUCUAUCCCCAGAGGUCAGCCCAGAGCCCACAGCAGAUGAGACAAUCAGCUUUCAUUGAAUGGAUAAUGGAGGGGCCUCAUCCUUGCUUUGUCACCCCCAUUUCCCUUCCAUGUCAGAGCCAGGGAUGGUCAUGGCCGCAGCCCUCGUGAGCCUUCUCUGCUUCCCAGGCAGGCGUGCUGCAGGCAGACCCACGAACGAACCCAGGGCCUGGUAAUGGAAUUGAAGAAAUCUGAAUGAAUUGUCUGAUGCAUCAUGACUAAGCUUAGAAUGUGCCAAGUGUCUCCCAGGAGUGGCCCUUGGACAGCGGGGCUGGAGUGCUGGGACUCUGCUAGCAGGAAGGAGGCCGUGCUCAGGGAGAGCCACCGACUGAGCCACUCUGGAGUUCUGGAAGUGCUUGGAGGGUGUGGGCAGUUGUCACACGAAUCUGUGGCACCAGCCCCUUGGCUUUCUGGUGAAGGGGUGGUGGCACAGGCUGUCGCUGUGCCUCUGGAGCUAGAUGGGCAACUCAGUCCACACAACCUCCUUCAUAAAGCCUUGGAUACUCCCAAGCUUUAUGGAUCUCACUUUGACCUCCCAGGAAGCUCCGUAUCUUGGUCUUUGUGAAUUUUAUGGAGGCUUGCCGGAUAAUUUUCAUUUUAUUUCCAUGAACACUCCAUUUCAAGUAUGUUCAGGAAGCCUUUCAUCAUCUCUUUUGGGCCUCCACUUCCCUCCCACCUCCUUCCUACAUCUGUUCCUCUCUAGGGUGAAUAGUUUCAAUUUUAUCAACGUUUCUUCCUGUGGCUGUGUGUGUAGGUCCUUUCUCCAUGCUGAUCACCAAAUACAAGACUUAUUUAUAUCC